CUACGGAGGAUGCGAGCGUUAUCCGGAUUUAUUGGGUUUAAAGGGAGCGUAGGCGGGAGCUUAAGUCAGCGGUUAAAUGGUGCGGCUCAACCGUGCCCUGCCGUUGAAACUGGGUUUCUUGAGAGUGCAAGAGGCGGAUGGAAUUCAUGGUGUAGGGGUGAAAUGCUUAGAUAUCAUGAAGAACUCCGAUUGCGAAGGCAGUCCGCUGGGGCACGUCUGACGCUGAUGCUCGAAGGUGCGGGAAUCAAACAGGAUUAGAUACCCUGGUAGUCCGCACGGUAAACGAUGAUUACCCGCUGUCGGCGGCAGACAGUCGGCGGCCAAGCGAAAGCGAUAAGUAAUCCACCUGGGGAGUACGCCGGCAACGGUGAAACUCAAAUGAAUUGACGGGG
rnacentral:rRNA from 1 species